GUCCUUGAUUGUCCCUGUCUUUGCCCACCAUGUUGUGCAGCAGACUUGGACUCUGAUCACAACCUACUGAUCAUGCAAAAACAUUGACAUGGCCCCACUUGUAUACGACCUAAAUAAACAAAUAUAGUGACUUAAUUGGGCGGGGCUCAAGUCAUUCUAGUUUUUUAAUCUUUCCCCACAAAUGCUGCCAUAUUGAGUGAUGUCAAACCUAACGUUACUUCUCGGAGCUCUCAAACUGCAUUUGAUUGUGAAAGUAGAGGCAAGUUUUUUCCAUCCUUUGUCCCUCCCUUCAUGAGUCCUGUUUUAAAUACAGAGCAAGCUUAGUUGGGAGAAGAGCAUCUCCUUCUUGAAUGCACCAGUGACUUCCAUUAGCCAGACGGUGACAACCACAGCGUCUUUUUUACUUGAAGAGGUCUUCGAAAAUACAGAAUUACAGGAAUGGACAGUCAAAGCAGAGCUGUGUUUGCAGUCAUCACAGUGAUGGCGUACAUGGGGAUGGGAGCUGAGGCACAGAACACCAAAACAGCAGGCUCAGGAAUCAUCUCAAGGGCAAAUUGUGGAACCACACAGUUCUGUGCUGCUCAGCCAGCAGGCUGUGACCCAUCUGUGUCUGGUUCCUGUUUCUUCGUCUCAACCAGUUUAAACUCGGGACAGAACUUUUCAUUUCAGCUUCAAGGACAAUCCAACUUCUACGUCGCUCUAGUGUUGUCCAAAAACUUUACAAAGUUGUCUUCAAACUUAACAAUGCUCUCUCUGAAUGGACAAAUUGACAUCUAUGUGUGUUUUAACAUCAACUACAUCAGCAUCAUAAAUUCCACACUUGGAAUGAUUCCUAACCUGCUGCCCUCUAACCUGAUGAUCGGCUCAGUCAGUGGUCAGACCAUCCAGUGCAUCUUCUCUGCUUUAGUCCCCAAUGCUACUUCCACCAAGAGCAGCAGUACCACCUUUUUUAUUUCCAUCUACAAUGGGACCGUGACUAAUGGAAUCCCAAGUUUUCCUGAGCCUGUCUUUAUAAGCGAUGCAGCCGUGGACCUGUCCAACCCCAAAGCCACUGCAACCAACAGUCGUGCUGAGAUUAUUACUUAGUAGCAUGAAUAGGGUUGAGGGUUUUAUUGGACCCUGUAUAUAUAUUAUUAUUAUUAUUAGCAAUACAGGUAUUACAUUGUGAGCACUUACACAAUUACACAAAGAUAAAUUGUUUAAGUGUUAUUACCAUAGGGCCUAGUUCCUUAUCAUUCCAUAGGCCAUAUAAUAUAUAUAUAAUUGAAUAUUUUAUUCCAUAAUAUGCAAUAGGGUCCAAUCAUCUCUAAUGUCUCUGUCUUCACAGCUCUGCUGAUCCUGCUUGGUGGACUAGUUUUCAUCAUGCUGUAAUGUGGAUCUCAGUAGUAAACCACUUCACAUUCCGGAAUUCUGGACCUCUAUGGUUACUGAAGCCAACCAGUCUGGGUUCCCAAGAAUGAAACUAUUUUGAGCAGGGGUAGUAAAGGGUAGUAAGACAUUAGCCUACAGAAUUAAUCCAGUAAUAUAAGUUUAAUGUUGUGUUUACAGUCAAGGCCUUUUCAGGUACAUUAAGCAUUGUUCAACCUCAUUACCUCCAGGAUUACCCCAACAUCAACACGUGUUAAAUUUUGUGACCACAAAACAUAAAAGCCUAGAUUAUAUUGAUGUUGUAUUGAGAAAAUGAAAAUGAGGUAUACACCUAAAACAUCCACCAUGUGUAAUUAUUUGUUUGAGCCCAGUCAUCUUUUACUUCAUCUUACCUGAUGUCCAGUUAUGAAGGAGGACAAUUUUGUCAGAGUGUGUGUGUGUGUGUGUGCAUGGAGUGUAAAUAUUUGCUACAUAUUUGUGUCUAAUGAUGCCACAAGUUGGCAGAAACUGAUACUUGUGUGUUUGUUCUUCAUGAUUUCCCUUCAUGAUUGAAGUUUGAAAUGUAUUUAAUAAGCCUCCUUAGUCUGGAUCCGCGGAUGGAGCCCUCUGUGCACAUUUGCAUAAUAUAAAAAAUACUAUAAUCACUAGAAUCAUGUUUUUUUUAUAGA
ensembl:lncRNA